AAUAGAUACCCUGGUAGUCCAUGCCGUAAACGAUGAGUGCUAAGUGUUAGAGGGUUUCCGCCCUUUAGUGCUGCAGCUAACGCAUUAAGCACUCCGCCUGGGGAGUACGGUCGCAAGACUGAAACUCAAAGGAAUUGACGGGGGCCCGCACAAGCGGUGGAGCAUGUGGUUUAAUUCGAAGCAACGCGAAGAACCUUACCAGGUCUUGACAUCCCACUGACCGGUAUAGAGAUAUACCUUUCCCUUCGGGGACAGUGGUGACAGGUGGUGCAUGGUUGUCGUCAGCUCGUGUCGUGAGAUGUUGGGUUAAGUCCCGCAACGAGCGCAACCCUUGAUCUUAGUUGCCAGCAUUUAGUUGGGCACUCUAAGGUGACUGCCGGUGACAAACCGGAGGAAGGUGGGGAUGACGUCAAAUCAUCAUGCCCCUUAUGACCUGGGCUACACACGUGCUACAAUGGAUGGUACAAAGGGCUGCAAGACUGCGAAGUCAAGCCAAUCCCAUAAAACCAUUCUCAGUUCGGAUUGCGA
rnacentral:rRNA from 1 species